rnacentral:rRNA from 1 species
UGGGGAAUUUUGGACAAUGGGCGAAAGCCUGAUCCAGCAAUGCCGCGUGUGUGAAGAAGGCCUUCGGGUUGUAAAGCACUUUUGUCCGGAAAGAAAUCCUUGGCUCUAAUACAGUCGGGGGAUGACGGUACCGGAAGAAUAAGCACCGGCUAACUACGUGCCAGCAGCCGCGGUAAUACGUAGGGUGUAAGCGUUAAUCGGAAUUACUGGGCGUAAAGCGUGCGCAGGCGGUUUGCUAAGACCGAUGUGAAAUCCCCGGGCUCAACCUGGGAACUGCAUUGGUGACUGGCAGGCUAGAGUAUGGCAGAGGGGGGUAGAAUUCCACGUGUAGCAGUGAAAUGCGUAGAGAUGUGGAGGAAUACCGAUGGCGAAGGCAGCCCCCUGGGCCAAUACUGACGCUCAUGCACGAAAGCGUGGGGAGCAAACAGGAUUAGAUACCCUGGUAGUCCACGCCCUAAACGAUGUCAACUAGUUGUUGGGGAUUCAUUUCCUUAGUAACGUAGCUAACGCGUGAAGUUGACCGCCUGGGGAGUACGGUCGCAAGAUUAAAACUUAAAUGAAUUGACGGGGUCAUAGCUGUUUCC